ensembl:lncRNA
CUGCCUUGUAUUUAAGGUAAGAUGAGACUGCAUGGUAAAAUUGUGCUUCAAGGCAUGGGUAGAGGGAAAGAACAGUGCACACACCCCCAGCCUUCAGUUCUACAUAUUCCUUCGGGUUACUUGGAUCCUCUCUCUUUCUCUGUCCUUUUGGCCUGUGUGGGCAAUGCAGCGUAACCUGUAGCAGAAAGUGCUGCAAAAGCUAAUAAUACCCUGGAGACGAUGGAAAUAGAAUCCUUGAGAUUUCCUAGAAGAUGCAGCAUGAUCAUUCUCUUGGAGGCUCUGAGACCACAAUCAGUCCUGGGGUUUCCCCAUGUGAUGGUGAUGGCAGCAAAAUGGUGGAGACUGCUCACUGUGUGCCUGGGUUGGCCUUCCUCUUGUGAUGAGUAGCUUCCAUGCAGACUCAUCUGUACUACUUCUACUGCAUGGCCAGAGUGCUCCCCUGCCUUGCACCAACUCUGAGAUUUAAUUCUAAAAUCUUAGUGUCUCCAAUGGUCAGUUUUAAAUGAUUCUUACGGAAAAGCCAAUCAGUCAAGCCAGAAAACCCUGCUUGGGCUUUUAUUUGAACAUAUGCAAAUAAUUUGUUGUUUAAAUCUCUGGAAACUCGCACGUGUUGAUUCAUUUUUCUGUAAAUCACCCAGCAAACACCAGGUUCUGUUCAUUUCUUGCAUGCACUUGAAAGAGGAGAAGAGGAAGAUAUCUAAGCUUGGAGAAUACCCAGGAAGGGCAGUGCUGAGGUUGUUCAAGGCUUUUUCUACUUGUUCUUCUAAUUUGUUCACAGUGGAGCAGGAUAAGAUGAGAAUUGUAGUUGGAAGUAUUGACUAAUACAAGUACUAACUGCUCCUCUCGAGGUCAUGUUGUUUUCAGGGACACUUGCAGCACCAACACAUGUGAUAUGCGCAGUAAACACACUUCCAAGUGGCUGCUCGCUAUUCCAACGCUGUUCUGUGACCUGUUUUCAAAGUACACAAUCUACUGCUGAUUCAGGACAACACUUCAU